GGAGGGAGCUAGCGUUGUUCGGAAUUACUGGGCGUAAAGCGCGCGUAGGCGGUUUUUUAAGUCAGAGGUGAAAGCCCAGUGCUCAACACUGGAACUGCCUUUGAAACUGGAAAACUUGAAUCUUGGAGAGGUCAGUGGAAUUCCGAGUGUAGAGGUGAAAUUCGUAGAUAUUCGGAAGAACACCAGUGGCGAAGGCGACUGACUGGACAAGUAUUGACGCUNAUGUGCGAAAGCGUGGGGAGCAAACAGGAUUAGAUACCCUGGUAGUCCACGCCGUAAACGAUGAUAACUAGCUGUCCGGGUUCAUAGAACUUGGGUGGCGCAGCUAACGCAUUAAGUUAUCCGCCUGGGGAGU
rnacentral:rRNA from 1 species